rnacentral:rRNA from 1 species
CCUACGGGGGGCUGCAGUAGGGAAUCUUCCACAAUGGGCGAAAGCCUGAUGGAGCAACGCCGCGUGUGUGAUGAAGGCUUUCGGGUCGUAAAGCACUGUUGUAUGGGAAGAACAGCUCGAAUAGGAAAUGAUUUUAGUUUGACGGUACCAUACCAGAAAGGGCGGGCUAAAUAGGUGCGAGCAGCCGCGGUAAUACGUAUGUCCCGAGCGGUAUCCGGAAUAAUUGGGCGUAAAGCGAGCGUAGACGGUUUGUUAAGUCUGAUGUGAAAUCCCAGAGCUUAACUCUAGAAUGGCAUUGGAAACUGGUUAACUUGAGUGCAGGAGAGGUAAGUGGAACUUCAUGUGUAGCGGUGAAAUGCGUAGAUAUAAGGAAGAACACCGGUGGCGAAGGCGGCUUACUGGAAUACUACUGACGUUGAGGCUCGAAAGCGUGGGUAGCAAACAGGAUUAGAUACCCUUGUAGUC